UACGUAGGGUCCGAGCGUUGUCCGGAAUUACUGGGCGUAAAGAGCUCGUAGGUGGUUUAUCGCGUUGUUCGUGAAAACUCACAACUCAAUUGUGGGCGUGCGGGCGAUACGGGCAGACUGGAGUACUGCAGGGGAGACUGGAAUUCCUGGUGUAGCGGUGGAAUGCGCAGAUAUCAGGAGGAACACCGGUGGCGAAGGCGGGUCUCUGGGCAGUAACUGACGCUGAGGAGCGAAAGCGUGGGGAGCGAACAGG
rnacentral:rRNA from 1 species